CGGCAACGGCAAUGUCGACUCCGGCCGCGCCGCCGGCCUCCCGUCCGCGUGCGGCCUCAGCGUCAGGUUCCUCCCAACCAGCCCCGACUUUGACUGCUCCCAGUACGUAUUUCUGCUUCCCCCUUGUUUUGUUCGUCCUUCCAUCAGCUGAUUUCUCAAGUUUUGCGUCACUGAACGAAAUACUGAAUUUCCUUGCAGGGUCCCCUGAAUACUGAAUACUUUCUUAAGUUCGUCCUUCCAUCAGCUGCUCACUCUAUCGCUGGCCUAAGGAUCGAAGAGCACAGAUAAGAAGAAGCACGGAGCUUCCAGUUGGCAGAUUUGUUGGUUCUCCCUUCGCUUUGCUUAGCUACCUAGGAGUUGGCAGAAUGAUUAUCUCUUGGAAAAUAUGAAUGACAAUCUUGUUGAAUGAUUCUUCUUUUAUAGUGGAAGAUCGUCGCGAGCUUUAUCUGUUACGGGUUUAGUAGCGGCUGAAUGUCAGCACGCUAUGGCUUAGCGCAGUCGUUUGUCAUAUGCGCGCUCACUGCUCUAUCGUGAGUGUAAACUCAAAGAUGAAAU
rnacentral:lncRNA from 1 species